rnacentral:rRNA from 1 species
AAGGGCACCACAAGAACGCGUGGAGCAUGUGGCUUAAUUUGACCCAACGCGGGAAAUCUUACCGGGUCCGGACACACUGAGGAUUGACAGGCAAUUAAUCACGCACACCGCACUCUCUGUAGUCGCGGUGUGUGUAUAUUUCAAAUAUGCUAGUCCUUUCAUGAUUAUGUGAUAGGUGGUGCAUGGCCGUUCUUAGUUCGUGGAGUGAUCUGUCUGCUUAAUUGCGUUUCACUAAGGGUCUAUAUUUUUAAAACGUAUGUUUUAUAUGCUGGCGCUUUGACCCCUGUGUUUAUGCACAGCGCGUGUCUCUGUUAGCUCAUUGCUAUAUCAUACACUUUAGGCUCUGAAAGCAACGAACGUGACCG